rnacentral:rRNA from 1 species
UACGGAAGGCAGCAGUGGGGAAUAUUGCACAAUGGGCGCAAGCCUGAUGCAGCCAUGCCGCGUGUAUGAAGAAGGCCUUCGGGUUGUAAAGUACUUUCAGUCGUGAGGAAGGUGUUAAGGUUAAUAACCUUAGCAAUUGACGUUAGCGACAGAAGAAGCACCGGCUAACUCCGUGCCAGCAGCCGCGGUAAUACGGAGGGUGCGAGCGUUAAUCGGAAUUACUGGGCGUAAAGGGCACGCAGGCGGUUAAUUAAGUUGGAUGUGAAAUCCCCGGGCUUAACCUGGGAAUGGCAUUCAAGACUGGUUAGCUAGAGUCUUGUAGAGGGGGUAGAAUUCCAUGUGUAGCGGUGAAAUGCGUAGAGAUGUGGAGGAAUACCGGUGGCGAAGGCGGCCCCUGGGACAAAGGACUGACGCUCAUGUGCGAAAGCGUGGGGAGCGAAACGAGGGAUUAGA